AAGACCUUGCGUUUUUGGAGCGGCCGAUGUCUGAUUAGCUAGUUGGUGGGGUAAUGGCCUACCAAGGCUUCGAUCAGUAGCUGGUCUGAGAGGACGGCCAGCCACACUGGGACUGAGACACGGCCCAGACUCCUACGGGAGGCAGCAGUGGGGAAUUUUGGACAAUGGGCGCAAGCCUGAUCCAGCCAUGCCGCGUGAGUGAAGAAGGCCUUCGGGUUGUAAAGCUCUUUCAGCCGAGAAGAAAAGAUUGCGACUAAUAAUCGCAAUUCAUGACGGUACCGGCAGAAGAAGCACCGGCUAACUACGUGCCAGCAGCCGCGGUAAUACGUAGGGUGCGAGCGUUAAUCGGAAUUACUGGGCGUAAAGGGCGCGCAGGCGGUUUUGUAAGUCAGAUGUGAAAUCCCCGGGCUUAACCUGGGAACU
rnacentral:rRNA from 1 species